UAAGACGUAGGGGGCGAGCGUUGUCCGGAUUUAUUGGGCGUAAAGCGCGCGUAGGCGGCCGCGCAAGUCGGAUGUGAAAACCCGGGGCUCAACCCCGGGCGUGCAUUCGAUACUGCGCGGCUCGAGACAGGUAGGGGAGAUCGGAAUUCCUGGUGUAGCGGUGAAAUGCGCAGAUAUCAGGAGGAACACCGGUGGCGAAGGCGGAUCUCUGGGCCUGUUCU
rnacentral:rRNA from 1 species